rnacentral:lncRNA from 1 species
AUUCUGUAACACUUUCUUACCUGGUUGCAAGAAGCAAGAAGCAACUGAUAAAAGGUAACACCAGAUAAAGCAAUGUCUCAGAAUGUGGGUUGUUAACCCGUGGAACAAGCUACAUGAGGAAGGAGUGAUUCUCUUCUGGGUGCUUUUAAGGCAAGCCCAAAUGCCUUUCUGAAGGGCACUCUGAAAGACAUCUACCUCAGCCUGAACAAGUAAAAGGUAAGCUACUUGCUUAACACUUGGGAUUAGUUCAGAAACCCAGAGAUCUGUCCAGAGCUCCACAGAACUAUGAGUGACACCAACUAAACCAGAAGCAGGAUCAGUCUGUGCUAGCAGAGGGAAGAAGGGAAACAGGGCAAGCACCAUCCUUCACACUUAGGUGCAGACAUUCCUUCAGGAGCACCUCCAAGCAUCCUCCAAGCAGUGGGCACCCACUCAGCCCCAGGGGAACACCAGCAGCUCAAGGAGGGAAAUGAAAGGAGGCUGACAGGAAUACAGGUGGUCAAUUGAGUGCAAGCUGAGAGAAAACAGGUGAGUCAAUGCCAUACUCAAAUGUUAACUUAUUAUUCCAUGACGCCCAGCCUUUGAAGGAACACAUCUUUUAUAACC